AUGAACGCUGGCGGCGUGCCUAAUACAUGCAAGUCGAGCGAACGGACGAGAAGCUUGCUUUUCUGAUGUUAGCGGCGGACGGGUGAGUAACACGUGGAUAACCUACCUAUAAGACUGGGAUAACUUCGGGAAACCGGAGCUAAUACCGGAUAAUAUUUUGAACCGCAUGGUUCAAAAGUGAAAGACGGUCUUGCUGUCACUUAUAGAUGGAUCCGCGCUGCAUUAGCUAGUUGGUAAGGUAACGGCUUACCAAGGCAACGAUGCAUAGCCGACCUGAGAGGGUGAUCGGCCACACUGGAACUGAGACACGGUCCAGACUCCUACGGGAGGCAGCAGUAGGGAAUCUUCCGCAAUGGGCGAAAGCCUGACGGAGCAACGCCGCGUGAGUGAUGAAGGUCUUCGGAUCGUAAAACUCUGUUAUUAGGGAAGAACAUAUGUGUAAGUAACUGUGCACAUCUUGACGGUACCUAAUCAGAAAGCCACGGCUAACCACGUG
rnacentral:rRNA from 1 species